GAUGAACGCUGGCGGCGUGCCUAAUACAUGCAAGUCGAGCGAACGGACGAGAAGCUUGCUUCUCUGAUGUUAGCGGCGGACGGGUGAGUAACACGUGGAUAACUUACCUAUAAGACUGGGAUAACUUCGGGAAACCGGAGAUACUACCGGAUAAUAUUUUGAACCGCAUGGUUCAAAAGUGACAGACGGUCUUGCUGUCACUUAUAGAUGGAUCCGCGCUGCAUUAGCUAGUUGGUAAGGUAACGGCUUACCAAGGCAACGAUGCAUAGCCGAUCUGAGAGGGUGAUCGGCCACACUGGAACUGAGACACGGUCCAGACUCCUACGGGAGGCAGCAGUAGGGAAUCUUCCGCAAUGGGCGAAAGCCUGACGGAGCAACGCCGCGUGAGUGAUGAAGGUCUUCGGAUCGUAAAACUCUGUUAUUAGGGAAGAACAUAUGUGUAAGUAACUGUGCACAUCUUGACGGUACCUAAUCAGAAAGCCACGGCUAACUACGUG
rnacentral:rRNA from 1 species